rnacentral:lncRNA from 1 species
CUUUUCAUGACAUGAGUCUACAAAUAUAUACCUGGAAAUGAGGGUAAAAGAGGUAAUAUUUCAGCAACAGCAGCAACAGAAACCCAACAGCAGAAAAAUGCCAAUCAAUUCAGCAGAUUUGAACAAAACCGACAGGAACCGUGAAAACCAGACGAACAGUAGCAGAAAUUUUAAGAAAAUUUCAGAUUUAAUCAAACAGCAUUACCAAACAAACCCGAACAGAUAUAGGGAAACAAUAUUUCUGAUUUUGCUUUCUUUCUUCUCUAUUUUUCUGUUCUGUUUUCUUCUGACUGUGUGUAUGUGUGUGCUUUUUUUUCUGUUUUUCUUUUCUAUCUCUCUUUUCAGAUAAUCUCUCUCUCUCUCUCUCUCUCUCUUUCUAUGUUCUGUAUAUUUCUGUGUGUGUCUCCUUCUGUCUCUCUUUUUUAUUUUUUGUUUUCUGUCUCCCUUCUCUAUCUGUUCUC